AAACUUAAUUUGUUGGGCUCGGG
rnacentral:siRNA from 1 species